rnacentral:rRNA from 1 species
UACGGAGGGUGCAAGCGUUGUUCGGAAUUACUGGGCGUAAAGCGCGUGUAGGCGGGUGGGUAAGUCAGAUGUGAAAGCCUUCCGCUUAACGGAAGAAGGGCAUUUGAAACUGCCUGUCUAGAGUACGGGAGAGGAGAGUGGAAUUCCCGGUGUAGAGGUGAAAUUCGUAGAUAUCGGGAGGAACACCAGUGGCGAAGGCGGCUCUCUGGCCCGAUACUGACGCUGAGACGCGAAAGCGUGGGGAGCAAACAGG